rnacentral:rRNA from 1 species
GGUUAAGCGACUAAGCGUACACGGUGGAUGCCCUGGCAGUCAGAGGCGAUGAAGGACGUGCUAAUCUGCGAAAAGCGUCGGUAAGGUGAUAUGAACCGUUACAGCCGGCGAUGUCCGAAUGGGGAAACCCAGUGCAAUUCGUUGCACUAUCGUUAACUGAAUACAUAGGUUAACGAGGCGAACCGGGGGAACUGAAACAUCUAAGUACCCCGAGGAAAAGAAAUCAACCGAGAUUCCCCCAGUAGCGGCGAGCGAACGGGGAGCAGCCCAGAGUCUGAAUCAGCUUGUGUGUUAGUGGAACGGUCUGGAAAGUCCGACGGUACAGGGUGAUAGUCCCGUACACCAAAAUGCACAGGCUGUGAACUCGAAGAGUAGGGCGGGACACGUGGUAUCCUGUCUGAAUAUGGGGGGACCAUCCUCCAAGGCUAAAUACUCCUGACUGACCGAUAGUGAACCAGUACCGUGAGGGAAAGGCGAAAAGAACCCCGGCGAGGGGAGUGAAAAAGAACCUGAAACCGUGUACGUACAAGCAGUGGGAGCACCUUCGGGUGUGACUGCGUACCUUUUGUAUAAUGGGUCAGCGACUUAUAUUCUGUAGCAAGGUUAACCGUAUAGGGGAGCCGCAGGGAAACCGAGUCUUAACUGGGCGUUAAGUUGCAGGGUAUAGACCCGAAACCCGGUGAUCUAGCCAUGGGCAGGUUGAAGGUUGGGUAACACUAACUGGAGGACCGAACCGACUAAUGUUGAAAAAUUAGCGGAUGACUUGUGGCUGGGGGUGAAAGGCCAAUCAAACCGGGAGAUAGCUGGUUCUCCCCGAAAGCUAUUUAGGUAGCGCCUCGUGAACUCAUCUUCGGGGGUAGAGCACUGUUUCGGCUAGGGGGUCAUCCCGACUUACCAACCCGAUGCAAACUACGAAUACCGAAGAAUGUUAUCACGGGAGACACACGGCGGGUGCUAACGUCCGUCGUGAAGAGGGAAACAACCCAGACCGCCAGCUAAGGUCCCAAAGUCAUGGUUAAGUGGGAAACGAUGUGGGAAGGCACAGACAGCCAGGAUGUUGGCUUAGAAGCAGCCAUCAUUUAAAGAAAGCGUAAUAGCUCACUGGUCGAGUCGGCCUGCGCGGAAGAUGUAACGGGGCUAAACCAUGCACCGAAGCUGCGGCAGCGACACUAUGUGUUGUUGGGUAGGGGAGCGUUCUGUAAGCCUGCGAAGGUGUGCUGUGAGGCAUGCUGGAGGUAUCAGAAGUGCGAAUGCUGACAUAAGUAACGAUAAAGCGGGUGAAAAGCCCGCUCGCCGGAAGACCAAGGGUUCCUGUCCAACGUUAAUCGGGGCAGGGUGAGUCGACCCCUAAGGCGAGGCCGAAAGGCGUAGUCGAUGGGAAACAGGUUAAUAUUCCUGUACUUGGUGUUACUGCGAAGGGGGGACGGAGAAGGCUAUGUUAGCCGGGCGACGGUUGUCCCGGUUUAAGCAUGUAGGCUGAUUAUCCAGGCAAAUCCGGAUAAUCAAGGCUGAGGUGUGAUGACGAGGCACUACGGUGCUGAAGUAACAAAUGCCCUGCUUCCAGGAAAAGCCUCUAAGCAUCAGGUAACAUCAAAUCGUACCCCAAACCGACACAGGUGGUCAGGUAGAGAAUACCAAGGCGCUUGAGAGAACUCGGGUGAAGGAACUAGGCAAAAUGGUGCCGUAACUUCGGGAGAAGGCACGCUGGUGUGUAGGUGAAGUCCCUGCGGAUGGAGCUGAGACCAGUCGAAGAUACCAGCUGGCUGCAACUGUUUAUUAAAAACACAGCACUGUGCAAACACGAAAGUGGACGUAUACGGUGUGACGCCUGCCCGGUGCCGGAAGGUUAAUUGAUGGGGUUAUCCGUAAGGAGAAGCUCUUGAUCGAAGCCCCGGUAAACGGCGGCCGUAACUAUAACGGUCCUAAGGUAGCGAAAUUCCUUGUCGGGUAAGUUCCGACCUGCACGAAUGGCGUAAUGAUGGCCAGGCUGUCUCCACCCGAGACUCAGUGAAAUUGAACUCGCUGUGAAGAUGCAGUGUACCCGCGGCAAGACGGAAAGACCCCGUGAACCUUUACUAUAGCUUGACACUGAACAUUGAGCCUUGAUGUGUAGGAUAGGUGGGAGGCUUUGAAGCGUGGACGCCAGUCUGCGUGGAGCCAACCUUGAAAUACCACCCUUUAAUGUUUGAUGUUCUAACGUUGGCCCCUGACCGGGGUUGCGGACAGUGUCUGGUGGGUAGUUUGACUGGGGCGGUCUCCUCCCAAAGCGUAACGGAGGAGCACGAAGGUUAGCUAAUCCUGGUCGGACAUCAGGAGGUUAGUGCAAUGGCAUAAGCUAGCUUGACUGCGAGCGUGACGGCGCGAGCAGGUGCGAAAGCAGGUCAUAGUGAUCCGGUGGUUCUGAAUGGAAGGGCCAUCGCUCAACGGAUAAAAGGUACUCCGGGGAUAACAGGCUGAUACCGCCCAAGAGUUCAUAUCGACGGCGGUGUUUGGCACCUCGAUGUCGGCUCAUCACAUCCUGGGGCUGAAGUAGGUCCCAAGGGUAUGGCUGUUCGCCAUUUAAAGUGGUACGCGAGCUGGGUUUAGAACGUCGUGAGACAGUUCGGUCCCUAUCUGCCGUGGGCGCUGGAGAAUUGAGGGGGGCUGCUCCUAGUACGAGAGGACCGGAGUGGACGCAUCACUGGUGUUCGGGUUGUCAUGCCAAUGGCACUGCCCGGUAGCUAAAUGCGGAAGAGAUAAGUGCUGAAAGCAUCUAAGCACGAAACUUGCCCCGAGAUGAGUUCUCCCUGAGACUUUAAGUCUCCUGAAGGAACGUUAAAGACGAUGACGUUGAUAGGCCGGGUGUGUAAGCGCAGCGAUGCGUUGAGCUAACCGGUACUAAUGAACCGUGAGGCUUAACCUU